AUAAGAUGGCGGAACAAGUCAGUCAGGAGGUCCAAACUGGGAUCAAAAGUAUUCAUAAGUGUAAGUUUCUUUGCUUUUUUUGCUUUUUUUUUUUUUUAAGUUACCGAGAAAUAAUGGGUGUACUAUGUAAUUAUGCCAUGAUUGAUUAACAAAAAAAUCGUCUGAAUUAGUUAGCAAGGUAUCCGUUAGCCAGGUCGCUAUCGCUAUCGGUAGCUGAAGAUUGUUAACAGGCUUGCUAACGUUAGCUCUGGUAUUUAUCUGUAUUUAAUGCAAGAUAGUUAAGAAAGUGAACGGUUGUUUAUGAUGUGAAAUUGUAAAUGUGCAUUGUAACUGCACAUUUAGAGUUCAGUCUUCCUGCUGCCUCCGCCUCCCCGGCCUCCACCCUUGGUUCUGUUUUCUGUUUCCUGUUUCAGGGGGAAUGCGUCUCUGCUCGGAGGUCGAGACGGUGUCUCGUUGGAUGCGGCAGGGAGCCGAUGCGAGCAGAACCACAAUGCCAAAUCAAAUGUACAAUCGUGUUUUGUAUAGUGGGAAAUAAAGGAUUCGUAAAGUCAUACUGAGUCCUCCUGCCUGAACCGCUAUUCCGGGAGCGACGCACACAACAGAAUACAAUUAUGAAAAGAGUUCAAAAACUACGCUUUCUUUCUAAUGUGCAUUCAUUAAGAUUGGGGGAGACGACGACAAUAAGUUACAGUCUGUGAUAUCAAAAAGGAGGUACAAGAGCAGUGCUCUAAGAGGGGCUGGAGAAGGGCUUGAUGAGACCCAGCUCCAUGGCCUUGACCAGGCAGGUGCGUGCUAUAUCGAUCACAGGCUGCCUCUUGGGGUUGUCCUCCUGCUUGCCAAUCACUGUGAGGAUCUCCAGCAUCUCACACUCGAUCAGCUUCUUGGCCAGCUCGUUGUCGUCCGAGUUGAGCAUGUUGAACACGGUCACCAGGCCCCUGUGCUGGAUCUCUGGGUUGUCGUGGAGACACAACCUUUGUAGGACCUCUAGCCACUGAGUGGUCUGUGGAGAGAAGCAGUCAAGACCCAGCUUCCUAUUGUCCCUGUAUCAGGGAGAGAAGGAGUCGAGUACAUACCACCAGGGUCAUCUUAGUGCACAGCUUCUUCUGGGAGGCAGUGAGCAUGGCCAGAGCCCCUGCAGCCGCUCUCUGCAGCUUGUCAUCCUCCUCACUGCACAGCAGCACCAGGAGCUUCAGCUUAUCGUUUCCAUCCUGCAGGUACCG